rnacentral:lncRNA from 1 species
ACAGACGUCAUUUUAUUACAUCGAAGAUCCAAAGUUCAAUUUAUUACAACUCUCUCAACUGAAGGCUGAGUUACAUAGCGGAAGCAAAUAACAUAAUAAUAAUCCUGAGUGCAUCAAUCGCCACAAGGCUAGUUGAGUGUAGCUCCGUAGCCCUAUCUCGUCACUCAUCAUCUGCACAUGACACGUACAGGUAAGUACUUUGAAUGUACUCGCAAGUUGCAACGAAGAUGAUAACAAAUAGUCAUGCUGGACAGGGUGUCUAGGGUUUAUUUGCAGAAAGCCAAUAUUUCCCUAGACUAUAAAGAAAAGAAAAGAUAUUAAGUUUUGAUAAACAUUUUUUGUUUAAAACAUAGAGUUUUAGUGAAUACUUGGAUAUCCGGACCAAGGUUCACUAAAAAUAUUUUUUUUACAGGUUGAAGUAAAACACCCCGCUAUGUUUAACUUCCACCUAACCCUUUUUUUAAAUAGAUUUGAGAAAAGAGAGGGGAGAUUCUUCUUCAGUCCAAGUCUUCAGUUGCUCAAAAUUGCCCGUAACCGGGGGCACGGCUAAUCGAUUAGGUUAAACCCUCUGCAGAGGUCGUACACGUUCCCCACAUGACACAACCAACCCCGCUUACCGUUACACACUUGGGUGUACGACUAGGAGGAGAUUGUGACGAAGCCUUUCCGUAACAGCCCCCUAUACCUGACGAAGCCGCCCGCAACUUAGGCAAUGAAAGCCCCUCUCCGAUGGAGGUCCUGAGGUAAGGGUUUCCCGUUAGUACUAAGUUAAGCCAGAUCCCAUAGUAGCAUGUGGCUGUACUGGAAGCUACAUCAAACUGUUCUUGUAAGAUCUCAUUCCCCUGGACGGCAGUCCCCACCAAAAACCUGUGUGCAAGACCCCAGUCGGGCGCAUUCACUGCGAGACCCCGCUGGGCGCAAUCACUUGUAGACGCUCCCGUCAUACCAUUCCGCCCAGGGAGUAGAAGUUGAAACUAAUAUAGUUUUGCUUUCCAAUUUUUUUUCUAAAUCAUUGUUCCAAGGGAACAAGUUUGUAUUUUCAAAAUAUUUGGUCCACCCCAACUACAAGCAUGGCUAAGCGUAUAGUCCAAUAGCAAUGGUUUUUAGGGCUUUACUUCUAGUAAAAUAUUUGCAUAAUAGAAACAUAAAACCAACACAUGCAUGCUAAUUGAUUUAAAAAAAUGCAAGAUAAAAACAUGGGAUAAAUAUGGUCAAGGUUGCAACUUGCCUUCUGACUCGCAGCAACACGGUCCUACCUCCUCGUAGAAUUCGGCUUCGCACUCGUCGCAAUC